GACGAACGCUGGCGGCGUGCUUAACACAUGCAAGUCGAACAGUGGCGAACGGGUGAGUAACACGUGAGUAACCUGCCCUCCACUUUGGGAUAACUCCGAGAAAUCGGGGCUAAUACUGGAUAGUGGGGGAUGGGCGGGGGGCCUAUAAGUUUGUUGGUGAGGUAGUGGUCACCAAGGCGUGACGGGUAGGCGGCCUGAGUGGGCGACCGGCCACAAUGGUAGUGAGACACGGCCCAGACUCCAACGGGAGGCAGCAGUGGGGAAUAUUGCACAAUCGGCGAAAGCCUGAUGCAGCGACGCCGCGUGGGGGAUGACGGCCUUCGAGUUGUAAACCUCUUUCAGCAAGGAAGCGGUACUUGCAGAAGAAGCGCCGGCUAACUACGUGCCAGCAGCCGCGGUAAUUC
rnacentral:rRNA from 1 species